CCUACGGGUGGCAGCAGUGGGGAAUAUUGGACAAUGGGCGAAAGCCUGAUCCAGCCAUGCCGCGUGUGUGAAGAAGGCCUUCGGGUUGUAAAGCACUUUCAGUGGGGAAGAAAGCCUUGGGGCUAAUACCCUCGAGGAAGGACAUCACCCACAGAAGAAGCACCGGCUAACUCCGUGCCAGCAGCCGCGGUAAUACGGAGGGUGCGAGCGUUAAUCGGAAUUACUGGGCGUAAAGCGCGCGUAGGCGGUCUGAUAAGCCUGUUGUGAAAGCCCCGGGCUCAACCUGGGAACGGCAUCCGGAACUGUCAGGCUAGAGUGCAGGAGAGGAAGGUAGAAUUCCCGGUGUAGCGGUGAAAUGCGUAGAGAUCGGGAGGAAUACCAGUGGCGAAGGCGGCCUUCUGGACUGACACUGACGCUGAGGUGCGAAAGCGUGGGUAGCAAACAGGAUUAGAUACCCUAGUAGUC
rnacentral:rRNA from 1 species